GGCUAAGAGGAGCCAAAGAGAAGAUACUGCAUGAAGAAUGGGCUUUUUCCUCAUCCUCCUACCUGAGACAUCCUGGCAGUGAGUGCUGUCCACAGAGAGAGCUGAGUUGUGUAUAUGUGAUUGAGAGCUCAGUAGAACAGCUUUGUAGACCAAAUCAAGACCUCAAUUCACUUGAAAUAGUAAUUGACUCAGAUGAUGUCUCUGUUUUAAGAAUGUUUCUAAGCUUCUCCUACCUAUGCAAAUCCAUUUGGCCGAAACAACCCGAGAAAACUAGAAUUAUUUGCAGAAUCACUGCGAGAGAGUUCAAGCAUGGAAGAAUCAUUAUUCAUAAUUUGCUGCCUAUGGUGGUGUUAAAAGUAAUGAAAUGUUGGGGCCAGCACUGUGGCAUAGUGGGAAAAGCCACCACCUGCAGUGACGACAUCCCAUUAUGGGCACCAGUUCCCGUCCCGGCUGCUCCACUUCCAAUCCAAUGCUUUGCUGUGGGCUGGGAAAGCAGUAGAAGAUGGACCAAGUCGUUGGGCCCCUGCAACCGUGUGGAAGACUGGGAGGAGGUUCCUAGAUUCAGCUCUGGUUGGUGCGGCCAACUGGGGAGUGAACCGGCAGAUGGAAGACCUCUCUCUCUCUCUCUCUCUCUCUACCUCUUUCUCUCUGUGUAACUCUGACUUUCAAAUAAAUAAAUAAAUCUUUACA
rnacentral:lncRNA from 1 species